rnacentral:rRNA from 1 species
GACGACGCUGGCGGCGUGGAUUAGGCAUGCAAGUCGAACGGUAUCAUCCUUUCGGGGGUGAGAGAGUGGCGAACUGGUGAGUAACACGUAGGUUAUCUACCCUCAAGACGGGGACGACCCAGGGAAACUUGGGCUAAUACCGGAUGUGAGCAACUUUUAGUGUUUGAAAGGUGGCGUAAGCUGUCGCUUGGGGAUGAGCCUGCGUCCUAUUAGUUAGUUGGUGAGGUAACGGCUCACCUAGGCAAUGAUAGGUAGGCGGCCUUAACGGGUGGUCGCCCACACUGGGAUUGAGAUACGGCCCAGACUCCUACGGGAGGCAGCAGUCGAGAAUAGUCUACAAUGGUCGGAAGACUGAUAGUGCGACGCCGCGUGAACGAUGAAUCCCUUCGGGGUGUAAAGUUCUUUUAUAUGUGAGCAGUGCUUCUUAUAUUAACAGUAUGGGGAGAGAGAUAUUAGCAUAUGAAUAAGCAACGGCUAACUCCGUG